AUUGAACGCUGGCGGCAUGCUUUACACAUGCAAGUCGAACGGCAGCGCGGGCUUCGGCCUGGCGGCGAGUGGCGAAUGGGUGAGUAAUACAUCGGAACGUGCCCAGUAGUGGGGGAUAGCUCGGCGAAAGCCGGAUUAAUACCGCAUACGACCUGAGGGUGAAAGCGGGGGAUCUUCGGACCUCGCGCUAUUGGAGCGGCCGAUGGCAGAUUAGCUAGUUGGUGGGGUAAAGGCCUACCAAGGCGACGAUCUGUAGCUGGUCUGAGAGGACGACCAGCCACACUGGGACUGAGACACGGCCCAGACUCCUACGGGAGGCAGCAGUGGGGAAUUUUGGACAAUGGGCGAAAGCCUGAUCCAGCAAUGCCGCGUGUGUGAUGAAGGCCUUCGGGUUGUAAAGCACUUUUGGCGGGAACGAAAAGGACUGUGCCAAUACCACGGUUCGAUGACGGUACCCGCAGAAUAAGCACCGGCUAACUACGUG
rnacentral:rRNA from 1 species